rnacentral:rRNA from 1 species
AGGUGAAAAGGACCCCGGGAGGGGAGUGAAAGAGAACCUGAAACCUUGUGCCUACAAGCACAUAGAGCCCGUCAAAGGGUGAUAUGGUACUUUUUGUAGAACGGUCCGGCGAGCGAUUGUACGUUGCGAGCUUAAGGUCUUAAGGACUGGAGGCGUAGCGAGAGCGAGUCUAAACAGGGCGUUUAGUAGCGUGCAAUGGGCCCGAAACCGGGUGACCUACCCAUGAUCAGGCUGAAGUGAAAGUAAAAUUUCAUGGAGGGCCGAACCGACCUCCGUUGAAAAGGCGGCGGAUGAAUUGUGGGUAGCGGAGAAAUUCCAAUCGAACUCGGAGAUAGCUGGUUCUCCCCGAAAUAGCUUUAGGGCUAGCCUCGUUUUAAAUUACCGGGGGUAGAGCACUGAAUGGGCUAGGGGGCCACAAAGCUUACCGAACCCUAUCAAACUUCGAAUACCGGAUAAUUGAUGAACGGGAGUCAGACGGCGGGAGAUAAGUUUCGUCGUCAAAAGGGAAACAGCCCAGAUCUACGACUAAGGUCCCGAAAUCACAGUUAAGUGGAAAAGGAUGUGCAGUUGCACAGACAACCAGGAUGUUGGCUUAGAAGCAGCCACUCAUUUAAAGAGUGCGUAAUAGCUCACUGGUCGAGUGAUUGUGCGCCGAAAAUGUACCGGGGCUAAACUGUGUACCGAAGUCUAGGGAUCGUGAUAAACGAUCGGUAGGGGAGCAACGUGUGCGGGCUGAAGCCGAAGCGAAAGCGACGGUGGACUGCACGGGAGAGAGAAUGCCGGCAUGAGUAGCGAGAGCAAAGUGAGAAUCUUUGCCGUCGAAAGCCUAAGGUUUCCUGAGGAAGGCUCGUCCUCUCAGGGUAAGUCAGGACCUAAGCCGAGGACAAAAGUCGUAGGCGAUGGACAACUGGUUGAUAUUCCAGUACCACCUUUAGCGUUUGACUGAAGCAGUGACACAGAAGGAUAGACAGAGCGCGUGACUGGUAGAGCGCGUCCAAGCGAUGAGGGAGUUAAGUAGUGAAGAACGCUUAACAAUCCUGGGUCGUGAUGGGGACUGAAAAUAAGUAGGGAAGCUGUUGAAUUCACGCUGGCGAGAAAAGCUGCUAAGGAGCGAAAGGGUGCCUGUACCGCAAACCGACACAGGUAGGCGAGGAGAGAAUCCUAAGACGAGCGGGAGAACCCAUGUUAAGGAACUCGGCAAAAUGACCCUGUAACUUCGGGAUAAAGGGAGCCACGAGAGUGGCCGCAGAGAAUAGGCCCAAGCGACUGUUUACCAAAAACACAGGUCUGUGCGAAGUAGAGAUACGACGUAUACGGGCUGACGCCUGCCCAGUGCCGGAAGGUUAAGGGGAAGUGUUAGGGCAACCGAAGCACGGAACUUAAGCCCCGGUGAACGGCGGCCGUAACUAUAACGGUCCUAAGGUAGCGAAAUUCCUUGUCGGGUAAGUUCCGACCCGCACGAAAGGUGUAACGAUUUGGGCACUGUCUCAACGAGGGACCCGGUGAAAUUGAAAUACCUGUGAAGAUGCAGGUUACCCGCGACUGGACAGAAAGACCCCAUGGAGCUUUACUGUAACCUGACAUUGGGUUUUGUUGUAUUACGUACAGGAUAGGUGGGAGGCUUAGAAGGCUGGACGCUAGUCUGGCUGGAGCCGGCGUUGGGAUACCACCCUUGAUACAACGGAAUUCUAACCGAGAGAGUAACGAAAUCCGGGACAGUGUCAGGCGGGCAGUUUGACUGGGGCGGUCGCCUCCGAAAGAGUAACGGAGGCGCCCAAAGGUUCCCUCAGCGCGGCCGGAAAUCGCGCGAAGAGUGUAAAGGCAGAAGGGAGCUUGACUGCGAGCCAAACACGGCGAGCAGGUACGAAAGUAGGGCUUAGUGAUCCGGUGGUACCGAGUGGAAGGGCCAUCGCUCAACGGAUAAAAGCUACCCUGGGGAUAACAGGCUAAUCUCUCCCAAGAGUCCAUAUCGACGGGGAGGUUUGGCACCUCGAUGUCGGCUCAUCACAUCCUGGGGCUGAAGUCGGUCCCAAGGGUUGGGCUGUUCGCCCAUUAAAGUGGUACGUGAGCUGGGUUCAGAACGUCGUGAGACAGUUCGGUCCCUAUCCAUCGCGGGCGCAAGAGAUUUGAAGGGGUCUGCUCCUAGUACGAGAGGACCGGAGUGGACGGACCGCUGGUGUACCAGUUAUUCCGCCAGGAGUACAGCUGGGUAGCUACGUCCGGACUGGAUAAACGCUGAAAGCAUCUAAGCGUGAAGCCAUCCUUAAGAUGAGAUCUCUCACAGAGUAAUCUGGU